GCAAGUCGAACGGAAACGAUAAAGAAACUUGUUUUUUUAGGCGUCGAGUGGCGGACGGGUGAGUAACGCGUGGGAAUCUACCCUAUAGUUGGGGACAACAUAUGGAAACGUAUGCUAAUACCGAAUAUGCUCUACGGAGUAAAGGAGCCCUCUUCUUGAAAGGUUUCGCUAUAGGAUGAGCCCGCGUUAGAUUAGCUAGUUGGUAAGGUAAAGGCUCACCAAGGCGACGAUCCGUAGCUGUUCUGAGAGGAAGAUC
rnacentral:rRNA from 1 species